ensembl:lncRNA
CUCCAGUCGUCUUGCCUGAAAAAUCCCAUGGACAGAGGAGCCUGGAGGGCAAAAGAGUCAGAUACCACUUGGUGACUAAACAACAGUUCUGACCAGUGUGAGGUGGUAUCUCAUUGUAGCUUUGAUCUGCAUUUCUAUACUAACUAAGAUGGUGAGCAUCUUUUCAUGCCAUUUUCAGAUCGGUUGCUUGUUUUGUUCCUGUUGUGUUGUAUGAGCUGUUUGUAUAUUUUGGAAAUGAAGCCCUUUUUGGUUGCAUCAUUUGCAUUUUCUCUCAGUCCGAGGUAGUCUUUUCAUUUUGCUGAUGGUUUCCUUUGCUGUACAAAAGCUCGUAAGUUUGAUUAGGUCCCGUUUGUUUAUUUUUGCUUUUAUUUCUAUUGCCUUGGGAGGCUGACCUAAGAAAACAUUGCUACAAUUUAUGUCAGAGAAUGUUUUUGCCUAUGUUCUCUUCUAGGAGUUUUAUGGUGUCAUGUCUUGUAUUUAAGUCUUUAAUCCAUUUUGAGUUUAUUUUUGUGUAUGGUCUGAGGGAGGUUCUAACUUCACCGAUUUACAUGUGGCUGUCCACCUUACCCAACACCACUUACUGAAGAGACCAUCUUUUUUCCAUUGUAUAUUUUUGCCUUCUUUGUAGAAGAUUAAUUGACUGUAGGUGGUGGUCACCUCUUUUUACAGAGCCUUUAUAAGAAAAGACAUGAGCUUACUUCCUCUCUCAACUCUCUCUGCCAGGUGAUGAUACAAUGAGAAGACAGCUAUCUGUGAAUCAGGAAGAGGGUUCUUGCCAGAAGGGAUCUGUUGGUGUUUUGAUCUCGAACUUCCAGCCUCCAGAAAUGGGAGAGAUAAAUGUCUAUUGUUUAAGCACCUUUCCCCCUAAUCUAUGAUAGUUUGUUACAGCAGCCUGAAUUGAAUGAAGUGGUGGUGCUGGGGGUCGGGGGUAGCGAGUAGCCGUGGAUUAGGAUGGGAAGGUCUGCAUGGCUUGACAUGAGGCAAGGGUGAAGUUCCCCAAACUCCAAAAGCCCAGAUCGCUCACAUCUGUGUCCUGCUCUGUUUCCUAGGCAACAUCACAUUUGGUCCUUCUAGCAGCCUUUUAAGUAGAUAAGAUGUUUCGAUUUUACAGAUGAGGAAACAGCCUCCAGUAGUUCCACAGCCUUUGCCCAAGUCAUGUGGGGUGAGGCAGGGAUUCAAACCUAGGUCUUCUGAUCUCUUCUGACCCCUAGACCAGAAUAUCAUGUUGACUGUGGAGCAGAAACACAGCUGAGCUAUUAUCAUCCUGCCUUAAGAGACGGGGGCACGGAGGCACAGAUGGUCAAGCUUUGCUUCCUGGCUCUGGAGUGUGCCAGAGGUGAGGACAGAACCUCAGAGGUCUGGCUCCUGCAUGACUUUCUUCUAUUUCAUCCAAUUGCUUCCUUCUAGCCAGGCCCGGAUUUCCUUACCUAGCAGUUGGCAUGCCCUCAGGUAGGGGCUUAAACCAUGGCAACACACAUGUCCCACUCAGACUGGGGACAAACGCUGUCGUUCCUUUGGGGCCAUGUUGUCUCCUUCUUUUGUCCUGCAGCAGUCCUUGGCCCUGGGAAAUCCCAGGCAAAGUGUAUCAUCUCUCUGGCCUCAGUGAGGUCCUCUGUGAAAUGGGCGGACGGCUGACCCUCAUGCCUCCAUCCUAGCAUCCUGUGUGGCUCUGGUCUGUAUCCAGAGGCUGUGCUCAGGGUCCAUCCACACGCUGCAUCCUCAGAGAGGAAACCAGCUGCCUGGGAUGUUGUCAGUCACAGCUGCAGUUGAAUAAAUUAAAUCAUGAGCAGGAGGAGGACAGCACUCCUGAUGUCGGGCUCCUGAGAGGGCAGGGGUGCUGCCUGUCUCCUGGGCCCUCCCCAUCUCUCCUACCACUCUGCUCCAAACCGUGUCUUCCUCCUCUCCCUGGAGCCAGCCCAGCGCCCGCCUUCAGGAAGCUUCCUCCAGGACUGGUGUCCUCAUGACAAGAGAUUUGAACACAGACAUGCACAGGAGGGAAAC